UGCUUCCUGCUAAGGCUUACCUUUGUCAACACGUUUACUCAAGUGGCGUACAUAUGUUAAAAAGACGACGAAGGCUUCAACAAUAAUAAUUAUUAUUAUUAAGUUACUGACAAAAAUAAUUGACUGUAUGUAUUUGUAAACACAAGUAAAGGUGCAUCUCCUUUAGAACCUGUUGGGUUGACCUCCUACCUGACGUUACAGACAACAGCUGAUUCCCUCGACCAAUGACAGGACGCGCUGUGUGCUGGAGGGCUUGACCUUACCAAGAUGGCGCUGUCCAGGGCCGGGAGCCGUGGCGGUUCUGCAAUGAUGUUGUUAUACAGAAUCCGGCAGGCUGGACUCUCGGGCGGCGUUAACAACGCCACAAGAAGCUCUGUCCUGCUCAGGUCCAGCAGCCAGCAGUUCUGUCGGUUUUCCUCCAAAGCCAAGCACAGCGGGGGCUGGGGCUCCCUCAUCGUGAGCAAGCUGAGGCUCGUCAACGAGAAAUACGAGCGAUUCCUAGAGAGGAACUUCCCUGCUUUUUACCUGCUCUACUCCACCUUCUUCAGAGGGCUCCGGCUGCUCCUGCAGGAUGGCUCGGAGGUGCGCAGGAUCAAGGUGAAGAUGGCGAGGCAGGGCCUGAGCAAGGAGCAGCUCCCGUACCGUGACAUGGAGACGCUGCGCCAGUUCCGGAGAGACAUCAUAAAAGCUCUUCCUGUGGCCCUGGUCUCCAUCCCUCCAUUCGCUAACUACCUGGUGUUCGUGUUGAUGUACUUCUUUCCUCGGCAGGUUCUGAUCCGACACUUCUGGACCCCGAAGCAGCAGGUUGAGUUCCAGCAGGUGUAUCACGGCCAGCGGGCCCGGCUGUACCCGCGGCUCGUCAACGAUCUCACCAGAACCGCACCGAAGGUGUCGGACCGGGACCUGCAGAGCCAACUGCUCCAGCUCUGCAACAAGGUGCAGGGGGGCGCUCACCCUGGUAUCGGUGAGAUCCAGGCCGUGCGGCACCUCUUCACCGGACCCCCCCUGGGGAUGAAGCGUCUCCAGGUGGAGCACAUGCGCUGCCUCAGCUCUCUCUUCUUCCUGACGUCCCGCCUCCCCGCCGCUCUGAUUCGCCGCCGGCUCUGGAGUCACUCCGUGGAGCUGCUGCAGCUGGACCGCGCGCUGAGCAUGCUGGGAUUGCACCAGCUCUCCGAACCCGAGCUCAGAAGCGCGUGUUACCUGCGUGGUCUGAACUCCACGUGUCUCAGCACGACCCAGUGUCGAGAGUGGCUCUACCAGUGGCUGCAGCUCUCCACGAGACUCAAAGAUUCGGAGGCUUCUCUGCUGCUCCACAGCAUGGUCCUGCUCGCCAUGAACUACCCAAGCCGUUCCUGAGCGCUGGGGAGGGGGAGUCAGGGAGCUCCCUUGCAGCAGGGAGAGACUUGAAGAGUGGAGAUUGAAAUCUUCAUUUCUGAGGGGAUAGACAGCACUGUCUGGAUCGCUCGCACGUCUCUGCACAGCAAUGCAUCACUGACUCCGGUCCAGCACUCCAUUCCGGGUUUCACAGCUCUGACUGAUAAAGGUGCUUCCGGAUGGCAGUGGCAAUAAUAAAGGGCAUGGUAGGAUCAAAGACCUGGACUGGAUCUAGCCAGGUGACCGGCUCCACAGUACAGAAUGUAUAGUCUUGUGUCGCCAGAACCGUCUGAGCGGCUGACUCGAAGCUAAGCAGCUGGAACAAGCUGACGACGAGCGACUUUGAGAGAAUCCUUUGGCGUCUCUCUACCAGUUUUGUUCCAGGAAUCGCUGAAUGUGUUCCCGUCAGUUUGACUGACUCAUGCACCCCUGUCUGCAAAGACGAGAUGUUUGGAAUGCGACGCUGCAAGUUCAGAUUGCUGAUUGGAAUCCUUUUUUAUUAUUAUUUAUUUAAAACAAAUAAAUCUGUUUCUGUUUGUACAUAACCAGACUGUUUAAGGGCAUUUGCAAAUAAAUGUUUUGUCAGGUUAGUAAACAAACUACUGCUCCUUCUAUAAAGGGUCUGCAGAAUCCAUCCUAUUCACAAAACAUUAGGGGCUGUUUUAAAGACUUGUUUAAGGACUGGUUUUAUUUCUUUGAUUAUUUUUUUUUUUUUUUUUUUUGUAAUCGGGUUUAUGAGAAUAAACUGAACUCAUCUCUGAAACAGUUUUUUUUUUCAUGAACUUUAAGCUUGAUUUAAAAUGAUCAAAAAUGGGCUUUUAAAAACCAAAAACAAAGCAGCCGUAAGUAUUUUGUGAACAGGGUCCCGGUGUAUCGCUUGCAUGUCGGUUUGUUGUGUGUGUUUUUGAUGUGCCAUUAAUAGCUCUGAUGCUGACACGGUUCAUUGAAGCUGUGCAGCUCAUCAGUAUGCAGGACAUGCUUCCACACACACAGAGCUCCUUACUGAUUCAUGUUGCGCUUUACCGCAGCGGGAGAGGUUUUGUUGUCGUUUGCAUUGUGCGCUUGUUUGAGUUGCCUGUGCCUUUGUGUUUAAAUGCCGAGGAGGAGGUGUUUUUAUUUCUUUCUGUACAGUAAUGUAUAAACAAUAUUUAAAAAAAAAAAGUUAUUCCCACAUGCGGAGUAAAAAAUACCCACCAUC